rnacentral:rRNA from 1 species
GAUGAACGCUAGCGAUAGGCUUAACACAUGCAAGUCGAGGGGCAGCGAGGGUAGCAAUACCUGUCGGCGACCGGCGCACGGGUGAGUAACGCGUAUGUAACCUGCCCGCAACAGGGGGAUAACCCGGCGAAAGUCGGACUAAUACCGCAUAAAACAGGGGUCCCGCAUGGGAAUAUUUGUUAAAGAUUUAUCGGUUGCGGAUGGGCAUGCGUACCAUUAGGUAGUUGGUGAGGUAACAGCUCACCAAGCCUUCGAUGGUUAGGGGUUCUGAGAGGAAGGUCCCCCACACUGGUACUGAGACACGGACCAGACUCCUACGGGAGGCAGCAGUGAGGAAUAUUGGUCAAUGGGCGAGAGCCUGAACCAGCCAAGUCGCGUGAAGGAUGACUGCCCUAUGGGUUGUAAACUUCUUCUACAAGGGAAUAAAAUGAGAUACGUGUAUUUUAUUGCAUGUACCUUGGGAAUAAGCAUCGGCUAACUCCGUG